UGAAGACAAUGCUGAGUAUGAGGAAGAAGAAGAAGAGGAAGAAGAAGAAGAU
rnacentral:sRNA from 1 species